UGGGGAAUAUUGCACAAUGGGGGAAACCCUGAUGCAGCGACGCCGCGUGAGCGAUGAAGGCGUUCGAGUCGUAAAGCUCUGUCCUAUGGGAAGAUAAUGACGGUACCAUAGAAGAAAGCCCCGGCUAACUACGUGCCAGCAGCCGCGGUAAUACGUAGGUGGCAAGCGUUGUCCGGAAUGAUUGGGCGUAAAGCGCGCGCAGGUGGUUUAGAAAGUCAGGUGUGAAAGCCCACGGCUCAACCGUGGGGGGUCCUUGGAAACUAAUAAACUUGAGUGCAGGAGAGAAAAGUGGAAUUCCUAGUGUAGCGGUGAAAUGCGUAGAGAUUAGGAGGAACACCGGUGGCGAACGCGGCUUUUUGGCCUGCACCUGACGCUGAGGCGCGAAAGCGUGGGGAGCGAACAGG
rnacentral:rRNA from 1 species